ensembl:lncRNA
CUGGGGAUCAAAACCACCUCAGCCUGGAAGGAGGGUCCCCCCAGUCAGAGACACUCAGGGAGGAUCUCCGGGAAACGGGUGUGGUGGACACCAACUGGUGGGAUCACCUGCUGGGGACACUACAGGUGGACCCAGGACUCAAGCUGGCCAAUCAGCGUCCUCCCCGGGCGCGUUAAACCGGGAGCAGUGAGUCAUGAAGCCGAGCCCAGAGCCAGCCCCACGCUAUACGAUGAAGAGCCCCGCUUCCACCAGGAGAAGCUGCCAGGAGGCACGGAGGGUCCCGGGGCGCCCGAGUCCUGGGGUUCCGACAGCCGUCCUCGUGCCCGCAUUCCCCCCGGUGGCCGCUCCCCUUGCCGGGCUCUGGGGCGUCCCCGACGCUCCCCGCACGGCCUGUCCGCUGCGGCCGCCGCAGCUUCGUUUCUGCCGCUUGCAAGCCCGAGUCCGAACCUCCCAGAAAGCAAGCCGCCGUCUUUGCCUCAGACACGCAGUGUGAGGGUUCACAGGGUCCGAGCACCAAACGUCGGCCGCCCUCACGCCGCUGGUGCCCUCAGUGAAGUCGGGGAUCACCCCCCACCCCGAAUCCGGGCUCCCGGCGCUGCGUAGCUGAUGAGAACUCAGGCCGGGUCCUGAUCCGCUCAUUUCAGAAGAGCGGAAGGAUCCUGUACUGAUGCCUUUCCCCUCGUAGUGCUGAAAUCAUUCUUCAUUUCAGCCCUUUCACCAUCUUUGUUCAGUGACUUUAAUUUUUUGGCAGAGUUCUCACGAUGGUGUUUACCAGUUGCUGAGGUCUAAGUGUUUGUGUCCCCAAAUUCAUAUGUUGAAACCCCAGGGGCUGAUGUGAUGGUGUUACAUGUGGGGCCUUCGGGAGGUGAUUACGACGUGAGGCUGGAGCCCUCAGGAACCGGGUUAGUGCCCUUAUAGGAGAGCCCCCGAGAGCUGCCUCCCCCUCCGGCCGCGUGAGGACUCAGCUCUGAGAAGGUGCCGGCUAUGACCCAGGAAGACGGCCCUCGCCAGAAGGUGACCAGCUGGCUCCUUGACCUGGACUUCAGCCUCCAGAACUGUGAGCAAUGAAUGUCUGUUGUUUAUGAGCCACCCAGUCUGUGGUGUUCUGUUGUGGCAGCUGGAAUAGAUGAGACCCCAGUCGUCACCAAAACAAGACCAAUGGAUAAGCAUUUUCCCCUCAGAGACCUGAGCAGUCUUCUGAUUUUCGUUUCGCAGCCAGGAGUGCCUGUGGGAAGAAAAUAAAUGGUUAUAUUCUCUUCCCAGAGCCCCAGCCUGUCUGAGGAGCCUGGGACCGAGCACACAGGAAGUUGUUUGUCCCCAGUCCCUGCAACCCUGCGUGGGGUUUUGGCUUAGAGUGUGGCAGGAGGUGGAGGAUAGGGAGGCAGAGAGCAAUGGGGACGGAAUGAUACCCUCAUCAAAUGUGACGGGGCCUUCCAAGAGCCCUGCCGUCUCGCCUUGCCGUCUGGGAGCCACGAUGUUAUCUCCCUCACCGACUUCUACAGAAUUAGCCUCACUGAGCAGGAGGAUUCUGGAGGCGGGGAGAUGGAGUCAUGUGAUCAGCCACAAGCAUAUACAGAACUAGCCAAUACAUGGAGCUCAAGGUGAACACCCAGCUCCCAGCACAGAGCCUGACGCAGAGCCGGAAUUGGGUAAAUAUUUGUGGAGUGAAUAAUAUAAGGUAAACUGUGGAGAGAGGAUUGAAUUCCAGAGUUCCGGGUGUAGAAGCCAUGACAUGAUUUAUAAAUGAAUAUUUUCUAAUGGUGACACAGAAGCAUGAUACACAGUAAAGGGAAGUCAAGCUAGAAUGUGCAUUCUUUAAAAGUAAAGCACAAUGUGACUAGCUUAUGUUCAGCAAAUUACAAGUUAAUUGUAAUAAAAAUUGAGACAAUGUAUUUUCUUGGGAAGAACAGAUGUAAGAUUUCCAAUACCAAAUCUAGCACUUGGUGGACUAAAUUAGAAUACAUGUUUAUCACUUCAUUCAAAAAGCCAUUCACCAUGACGGUAUUAAAACAUAGGUUUCAAUGAAAAGUUCAAUUUACAUUUUUCAGAGUUUUAAAUUUAUUUCUCAGUUUAGAAAUCAACCAUAUAGAUUACAAUGUAUUUAAAGGUGGGGAGUUUUGUCUUAUAUAAUGACAUUCAAAGAAAUGUUGUCAGUGACUGACUCAGCCAUGAGGGGGACUUAGAAAAGAAAAUAUGUUCAAGUGUGUACAAGUAAUUAUACAUAAAACACACACAGCUUUCAGAGACACAGUUUGUAUCGCAGGGAAUAUAAAAUCUCAUAGAAGAGGAAAUACAGUCUUUCUGUACUUUGUACAGACUAUUAAAAAACAUAAGGUUUUGAAAAGUG